rnacentral:misc_RNA from 1 species
AAAUUGCUCAUUGCAAAGGAGACCAAUCGCUUUCUUUGCCCCUCCAGAUUUAGAGCUCUUCUUCUUCUUUGCUCUCCGCGAUAUCUCAGUCUAGAACUUGUUCAUAUAUGAUAUGAAGUCAUUUCAAUAGUCUAAGUUGUGAUCAUUAUAAAUCUCUCUUGAGUUAUAUAGUUUGAGACUUGGAUUUGAUCACUAAUAUAUAGUGUAAUAGCUACUUUGAGAUUUCAGAAUUCAGAGUGAAUGAUGGCAGUAAGAAGUUGUUAGCUUUGCUCCUUCUGGUUUGCUAUUUGAUUUAGUUGGGUUUUCAAUUUGUAGGGUAUACUAAUCACUAAAUUUAGCUGGGGUUGUCCAACUAAA